rnacentral:rRNA from 1 species
CUGGCUCAGGAUGAACGCUAGCGACAGGCUUAACACAUGCAAGUCGAGGGGCAGCAUAAAAGUAGCAAUACUUGGUGGCGACCGGCGCACGGGUGAGUAACGCGUAUGCAACCUACCUAUCAGAGGGGAAUAACCCGGCGAAAGUCGGACUAAUACCGCAUAAAACAGGGGCACCGCAUGGUGAUAUUUGUUAAAGAAAUUCGCUGAUAGAUGGGCAUGCGUUCCAUUAGGUAGUUGGUGAGGUAACGGCUCACCAAGCCGACGAUGGAUAGGGGAACUGAGAGGUUGGUCCCCCACACUGGUACUGAGACACGGACCAGACUCCUACGGGAGGCAGCAGUGAGGAAUAUUGGUCAAUGGGCGGGAGCCUGAACCAGCCAAGUCGCGUGAAGGAAGAAGGAUCUAUGGUUCGUAAACUUCUUUUGCAGGGGAAUAAAGUGCAGGACGUGUCCUGUUUUGUAUGUACCCUGAGAAUAAGGAUCGGCUAACUCCGUGCCAGCCGCCGC